rnacentral:tRNA from 1 species
GGGAGUUUAGCUCAGCUGGGAGAGCAUCUGCCUUAUAAGCAGAGGGUCAGCGGUUCGUUCCCGUUAACUCCCA